UACGUAGGGAGCAAGCGUUGUCCGGAUUCACUGGGUGUAAAGGGUGCGCAGGCGGACUGUACAAGUCGGUGGUGAAAUCUCACGGCUCAACCGUGAAAUUGCCUCCGAUACUGUCAGUCUUGAGUUCGGGAGAGGUCGAUGGAAUUCCAGGUGUAGCGGUGAAAUGCGUAGAUAUCUGGAAGAACACCAGUAGCGAAGGCGGUCGACUGGCCCGUAACUGACGCUCAGGCACGAAAGCGUGGGUAGCAAACAGG
rnacentral:misc_RNA from 1 species